ensembl:lncRNA
GAAUUUGUCUUUGUAUGUCUGACUUAUUUCACUAGGCUUAAUACCCUCCAGGUCCAUCGGUGUUGGAAUAAUGUUGCCCGACACUUUGCCAGAAAUACUCAGACACCCUUAAACCUCUCUCACCCGUGGACACAGCUGAGGAUGCACUGGGGACCCAGACUCCAACCUCCUAGCUUCAGCCCCAGGGGAUGAACCUGGCUUCUUAAGAUGGGGAAUGGACACAGAGAGGUUAAACCACUCAGCCUACGUUACACGGCCUGUUGUGAAUUGGGGCCGGGGCUCAGACCUGCCACACUGACUCUGAUAACACCCUGCGUGGACCAGAUGGUGUAGGAC